GAGUUUGAUCAUGGCUCAGGAUGAACGCUGGCGGCGUGCCUAAUACAUGCAAGUCGAGCGAACGGACGAGAAGCUUGCUUCUCUGAUGUUAGCGGCGGACGGGUGAGUAACACGUGGAUAACCUACCUAUAAGACUGGGAUAACUUCGGGAAACCGGAGCUAAUACCGGAUGAUAUUUUGAACCGCAUGGUUCAAAAGUGAAAGACGGUCUUGCUGUCACUUAUAGAUGGAUCCGCGCUGCAUUAGCUAGUUGGUAAGGUAACGGCUUACCAAGGCAACGAUGCAUAGCCGACCUGAGAGGGUGAUCGGCCACACUGGAACUGAGACACGGUCCAGACUCCUACGGGAGGCAGCAGUAGGGAAUCUUCCGCAAUGGGCGAAAGCCUGACGGAGCAACGCCGCGUGAGUGAUGAAGGUCUUCGGAUCGUAAAACUCUGUUAUUAGGGAAGAACAUAUGUGUAAGUAACUGUGCACAUCUUGACGGUACCUAAUCAGAAAGCCACGGCUAAC
rnacentral:rRNA from 1 species